GACAGAGGCCUCGAGCGUUAGGCGGAAUCACUGGGCUUAAAGCGUGUGUAGGCGGGCCCGUAAGUGUCUUGUGAAAUCCCCCGGCUCAACCGGGGAACGGCUGGGCAUACUGCGGGUCUUGGGCCGACUAGGGGCAGCCGGAACAAGCGGUGGAGCGGUGAAAUGCGUAGAUAUCAUGAGGAAUACCAGAGGCGAAGGCGGCUACCUGGACAAUUGCUGACGCUCAGGCACGAAAGCGUGGGGAGCAAAAGGG
rnacentral:rRNA from 1 species